AUUGACCGCUGGCGGCAGGCCUAACACAUGCAAGUCGAUCGAGUGGCGGACGGGUGAGUCAUGUCCUUGAUACUGCCUGAUGGAGGGGGAUAACUACUGGCAACGGUAGCUAAUCCCGCAUACCAUCGGAUGUUCCCAGAUGGGAUUAGCUAGUAGGUGGGGUAAAGGCUCACCUAGGCGACGAUCCCUAGCUGGUCUGAGAGGAGGACCAGCCACACUGGAACUGAGACACGGUCCAGACUCCUACGGGAGGCAGCAGGGGGGAAUAUUGCACAAUGGGCGCAAGCCUGAUGCAGCCAUGCCGCGUGUAUGAAGAAGGCCUUCGGGUUGUAAAGUACUUUCAGCGGGGAGGCGUUACCCGCAGAAGAAGCACCGGCUAACUCCGUGCCAGCCGCCGCGGUAAUAC
rnacentral:rRNA from 1 species